GAUCGGGUCGUGACAUAUGGUAUUGUAUCCUAUUGUACAAUAUCAUAUUGUGUUGUAUCAUGUUGUAUCUAGUCAUAUUACACUCAGUGUGUUUACAUGCACAGCUUAAUCAGACAGAGCUCAUAAUUUGUUGUAUUUCGCCGAAUCAGACUUCUCUUCUUGUCUGCGUCCACAUGCAGCUGAGAAAAUUGAAUUAUUAACGUUAACAUGUCCUCCUCCCCAAAACUAGGGGGUGAUAUGGGUCUUUUCAGUGGCGCUGUUUCUGGUCUUCCAGUUUCUGACCUUCCAUAUACUUAAAAAUGUCCAUUUCUUUCAGGAGGGAAAGCAUAAUGGCGCUCUCCUCGUCUUUACAAAAGUGGACUCUUUUGUGCUUCAGCUAUGUUGCAGUUGCUUGUGUGAGAGUGCCACUUCUUCGCUGAUAUUUUUUUCUGGGUUACGGGGGUGUGGCGCACGUGCACAUGUAUUGUCCAAUCAUACUCCGACUACGCCGGUUUCAUGGUAGAGAAAAUUGAAUUCCAACACAUUAUCCAUGUGUUUUUAUCAGAGUUUCCUACUCCAAUCGGGAUUCUUAAACUUUGAUUAUAGUCAGACUAAGGUGUUUACAUGCACUUCAGUUGUCUGGUCUUAAUCGGAGUAAUUCAAUAAUUCCGUUUUCUCAAGUGUCAUGUAAACAUACUGACUGUAUCACUGUAUCAAAUAGCAUAAUAUGGUAUGGUAUUGUAUGUCACUGAACCAUAUCACACAGCACAGUUCCUGGUCGUAGCUUAUUGCAACAAACUUUAUUUUAUCUAUUGUAUUGUAUCAGCUCAGAUUGAAUUGGAUCAGAUUCUACAGCAUCCUUCCAUAUGAUUUUUGUUCAUUUCAUAACAUAUUAAAUCAAAUUGAAUUGCCUUUUUUUCAUAGGAUGCUCCAUAGUAUUGGUUCAUAUUGUGUAGAUUUUAUAUUAAUUGAAUUAAAUUGCAUUUCGCUGCAACAUACCAUUUUUUUAUUAUAUUGUGUGGUAUUGUUGCGUAACUUAAUUUCAUAUAUUAGUUUAUUAUGUUUAAUUGACUCAUAUCAUAUCUCAUUGUAAUGCACAGUGUCUUGACACACAGUGUUGCAUCAUGCUGUACAUUAUUUGACCCCUUUGCGUCAUACUAUUCCAUGUAAGUUCGUGUCUGCCUUCUCACAUCCUAAUGUUGCACAUCCAAUGAUGUUGCAUCAUAGUACAUUGCACCACAGCAUGUCUGAUGGUAUGUACCAAUCCUAUACAGACCGUGUUUGUGAAAUGAUCUAUGACUGGCGAGACCAUACGCAGUUCAAGCAACACCUCAUGUUGUUUCAGAAAAAUAUACUCUUAGGUCAGUGAAAAUCCAACAUAUGGUUUGAUAGCUUGUCUCAAAGCAUGGUGCCUUAUCGUAUCAUAUUGGGCCAAAUCCUGAUGUAUCAGAUAAGGUCAUAAUGUAUCAGAUCUUAUCAUAUCAUACUCAUGGUAUUAUUCCAUUUCACAUAUCAUCCUUACAUUUCAUAAUGUCACUUUGUAUCAGAUCUUAUCGUACCAUUUCACAUUUCUAUAGAUUGUAGAGAAUAAUCAUGGAAUAGUAAUAUGGAAUCAUAGUAUGAAUCCAAUUUGAGUCCAAUUCAAGUAAGAUGGUUUAUUUUUUUGUGGUUCUAUACCCCUCUGUUACAUAUCCUAUCAUGUUGUGUAGAAAUUCACAGUUCGCACCAUAAAGUGCAAAGAUAAACAGUAUCACAUAUCAGGUCAUAUAUCAUACAGUAUCAUAUUGUAAUGCCUUAUUUGUUGUCAUAGAGUAAUAUUUCAUAAUAUGUUGUAUUCUUGCGCUUGUAUAUAAUAUAUUUAUUAUCAAGUCAAUUACAUUAAAUACUGAUUAUUUCAUUCGAAGCAAAAACUAAAGGAGCUGCAUGGCUGCCUGCUAACGAGGAUAAUCCUUUUUUAUAGGGAUUAUAUUGUACAGAUAGACUACAUGUCAAGUCCCUUAUUUGCUCACUCACAAGCUUGUCCCAGGAAUCAUCCCUCCAUUAUGAAAUCUGAUCCAUACUUUUAUUUCUGCUUAGGGGAGCGAGGAGCAAGAUGAAAUCCCGAGGGGGCAGAUGUGAUAAUGGUGGCUAUCUUUGCUGAAGUCUUUUACUGGACUGGCACACACCGGACUAGUCACCACACACAGUUUUAGACUUUUAUAGAAUUUGAUCUGUUAUCUAAUUUUUAUUUUCCACGACACAUUUGGCUGGUAGAUAUUUCCAUUCAGAUUUACACAUUUUCUUUAUAACUUUUAUAAAUGAAUAACUAUAUUUUAAACCAAAUACUUCUGAAUGGAGUCGCAGAUGGUUAUUCAAUUAGAAGUGCAUUCUGUUUUUAAGAAAGCCCGCCCUUCUUUAAAGACCUGUUUCCUGGUUUUCUCUCUUCUUGCAUCAUUACCUUUUGUAACAUGAAUGCAAUAAAAGGAGCGUGCAUGAACCCACGGACUGAUUUUCAUUAAGCUUUUUUUUUCUUAGGCCAUUUAAGGGCAGAGAAAAAAGCUAAACACAAUAAUUUACUUAGAUUAAAUGAUUGUCAUGGUCCUCAUACUAAUAAACUCAAUUUCAUUUUCAAUUUUCAGGGGACAUCUCAAUCUCUUUAGCUAUUAACUUUUAACAUAGAUACAAAAAGAUGAUUUAUUUAGGUGUAAAAAUAGCGAGUCAUGAUGGUUUCUUUACUCCUAACAUUUUAACUUGCAUGUUUUUCUUGUAAUCUUCAUACAGAUUAAAGGUUGAUAAAUAUACGCAGUGCCUAGAUUAGUACAAAAAUGUUAACAGAAUCUAUCUGGGUAAGGAUAGGAGGCUGGAGUAGUCACUAUAUUGCCAUGCUACACUCACAUCCUGCUCGGGGAAUUAAGUUGUCACCAAUCAAAGCAAAUUUAAUUAAACCCGGCCUCGAAAGAUUGGCCCUCUCUUUUCUAUAGCUCUUUUGUCCAAUCUUAUAGCAAUGCUUUCGCCACCUAGUCACUUUUAAUGCCUUACCUCCUCUGUACUCACACACAAUGUCAAGAGGUCUUUGCUUGCUGAUCUAUGUAGGACAAGCAGCGGGGUGUCUGAAGUAAUAAAUGAACAAGAUGAAUGUGGGGGAUAUGUUCAUUUGAAGGCUCUUGUCACUGAGGGUUUGUCGUCCGGCUGCACAAAGGGUGGAGCCGUCCUGCCUGAUUUACUUUAGAUUCAAACCAUGGCUAAAUUGGAAAUCGUGAAUCACUCUGACACCAUUGGUGCAAGAUGGAUUACUCCAGUUAAAGGCUGCCUUUUUCUUCGCUGUUGGUUCCUUUAAAAGAAAUCAUACAAAAAUUAAAUUCUCUGACAGACGGCUGACCCGGGCAGUCAACAAAAGGGAAUAGCAAAAGGCGAGGCCAGCGCUGAGGCACUACAAAGCUGGUUUUAUCAGCACAGCACUACCCCGACCACAUCCAAAAAGCUCUCAGCAGCACAAUGAGCCUGGCUGAAUAUUUGAUCAACUGUCGCAGGUUUAACAAGCUUUGCCAAACUACACCUGCCUGGAGGAAAAAGAUAUGCCUUUGAGAAGGGUAAUGCCUCCCUGCGAGAUGUAAAAGAAGUAAGAGUUUGAUGUUCACAGUGGCCAAUCUGCACUAAUCUCAUUCAAUCUUGGGUACACGGACUGGCAGGGAUGUUCAAGAUUUGCAUUAUGGAACAAUAGCUUCAGCGGAUGCCAAUAAUGCCCUUAAGCAUAAUCAGGCUGUAAAUUAUGAACAAUACACGCAAUGCAGUCCACUGUCGGCUAAAAGGGGUGUUUACAAAUUAAAUUCAAUAAAAUAACUAUAAAACCGUCACUCCAACCUGAUGUGAUACAGUAAAAUGUUCUUAAACUCACACACAUCAAAUCUUGGAUAACACACUUGUGCAAAGGUGUGAUUUUUUUUUUGUCUCAUUCUGUCUUUCAAUCUGAUUGUCAGGAUGUGUGUUUGUGCAUGGGUGCGUUUGUGUGUGUUCACCUCCAACUCAUCGUUGCUGGCUGCAGCUCAUUGCCCCGCAGUAAUAUCAGGCCUUGCAGACACCUGGGACCGGUGGUGUGGGCCCUCAGAGGAGGCAACCGCCUGGCAACUGGCCCUGAUUACUUUCUCCACUCUCCGGAACUCAACCCUGUAUAUGCCAUUAACCAGCUGCACGCAGUGUGAACCCAGCUCGACCGUGCCAUUAACCCUGUACACAAAGGGUUGUUUACAAAAUACACACUCACAUACACACACACAAAUGCAUGCACUCACGCAUGGAUGCGCCCACGCGGACAUAAAACUUCACAACUUAACCACCUGCUUGCUGAAGCUGGAGCCAACAUCUUCCAGGAUCUCCACAUCAGAGUCCGGACAACAGGAAAGCAUGGAGCUGGGCUGACAUCUAGUGUGUAAAAGCAGAACAACCAGGAGGGUGUCUGUGAACUGCGGAUGAAGUGCAGACGUUUUAAUAUUAGGCUUUAUUAUGAUAAUCAUGGAUUAAAAAAGAAGUGAUGUCCCACAGCAAAUAUAAUGUGAUAUCAGAAAAGUCUAAGUUCAUUUCCAGAUUCAUCCCUGACAAAAAUAUACAACAGUCAUGGUCAAAUCAAAAUCAUAGUGUUUAUAGUUGUGUGAUUGCUUUAUUUGUCUUAUACAUCUUUUCUAUCACUUCAAAACGUAAUCAUUAUUCUAUUUGUUUUUGUAAGUGUUAUCUCAUACCUACUCUAUCAAAUAUGGAUUUAUACACCAAUGUAAAUAAAUUUCAUUCAAGUUGUACUUUGUUUUGUAGAGUUUUGCAAUAGUUUCCGACAUUUUUCUUCUAUGUUGCUUCCAACUAAGUUUGUCAACUUUGGUGCCCCCCUGUGGACAAAGCAGAUUUAGCCUAUUAUUUCCUUCUCAUGUUUUGGAAAGUCUUCUGGCAAAAAAAUCUUAUCCUGCUGACUUUGGACGGUCAAGUGCAUAAUUUUUAUGAAUAUUGUUUUUAUGAAUGUAAAAAAAGGGCCUCACUGACACCCACCCCUUGCUCCAGUUUCAGGCAUUGAAAAUAGCUGUGUAUAAAUCCUCAA
rnacentral:lncRNA from 1 species